rnacentral:lncRNA from 1 species
CUUAAGUCACCAGUGCUAUUACACAUGACAUUGGGAAAACUGAGGCUUCCAUUAGCCCUGCAGGGACACAGUUGUGAUAUUCACACCUAGCCAUCUUCUCUACUGUUUUGAAAAAUUAUUGCAAAAGUUUUCAAACAUGCAAAAGGAUAUAAUAUAGUGAACACCUAGACCCAUCACUCAGCACCUCAUUGGAAGUUACCAAGAUUGUAAUCUGCUACUUUUCCCUACCCCACCCUCCAUUUUUUUUCUUUUACUUUUCUCUUUUUUUGAGACAGAGUCUCACUCUGUUGCUCAAAUUAGAGUGCAGGAGUGCAAUUCCAGCCUGGGCAACAAGAGCAAAACUCCAUCCCAAUCAAUCAAUCAAUCAAUAACAAAUCUCAGACCACAUGUCGUUUUAGCCUAUUUCAGUUUGCAUUUCUAAAAAUUAUGGAUAAUUUUCUCAUAUAAACACAGUCUAUUAUCACUUCCCAACUCCCCCUUCAAAUUGAUAAUUCCUGAAGAUCCAAUGCCCAGUCUCUAACCACAUUUCCAUGACUCAAGUGUCUUUUGUAUAGCUGGUGGGUUUCAAUCUGGAUCUAACCAAGAUCCACACAUUCAUCUGAUAGCGCCAUCUCUUAAAUCUCUUCUGGGAUUUAAGGCAGACAGGGAGAGUACCUGACU